rnacentral:piRNA from 1 species
UNGGUAGUACUGUACCACAUGUAGUAUCU